rnacentral:tRNA from 1 species
GCAUCGGUGGUUCAGUGGUAGAAUGCCCGCCUGCCACGCGGGCGGCCCGGGUUCGACCGGUGUCGCUGUU